AAGCAUCUAAGCGGGAAGCCAACUCCAAGAUGAACUUUCCCUGAAGACCUCAUGAAGACUACAUGUUUGAUAGGCUGGGUGUGUAAUGGAUGAAAGUCCUUUAGCUGACCAGUACUAAUAGGUCGUUUGGCUUAUUUUA
rnacentral:rRNA from 1 species